GACGAACGCUGGCGGCGUGCCUAAUACAUGCAAGUAGAACGCUGAAGAGAGGAGCUUGCUCUUCUUGGCUGAGUUGCGAACGGGUGAGUAACGCGUAGGUAACCUGCCUUGUAGCGGGGGAUAACUAUUGGAAACGAUAGCUAAUACCGCAUAACAAUGGAUGACACAUGUCAUUUAUUUGAAAGGGGCAAUUGUUCCACUACAAGAUGGACCUGCGUUGUAUUAGCUAGUAGGUGAGGUAAUGGCUCACCUAGGCGACGAUACAUAGCCGACCUGAGAGGGUGAUCGGCCACACUGGGACUGAGACACGGCCCAGACUCCUACGGGAGGCAGCAGUAGGGAAUCUUCGGCAAUGGGGGCAACCCUGACCGAGCAACGCCGCGUGAGUGAAGAAGGUUGUCGGAUCGUAAAGCUCUGUUGUAAGUCAAGAACGGGUGUGAGAGUGGAAAGUUCACACUGUGACGGUAGCUUACCAGAAAGGGACGGCUAACUACGUG
rnacentral:rRNA from 1 species